rnacentral:rRNA from 1 species
AUGAACGCUGGCGGCGUGCCUAAUACAUGCAAGUCGCGCGAACAGACGAGGAGCUUGCUCCUCUGACGUUAGCGGCGGACGGGUGAGUAACACGUGGUUAACCUACCUAUAAGACUGGGAUAACUUCGGGAAACCGGAGCUAAUACCGGAUAAUAUAUUGAACCGCUUGGUUCAAUAGUGAAAGACGGUUUUGCUGUCACUUAUAGAUGGAUCCGCGCCGCAUUAGCUAGUUGGUAAGGUAACGGCUUACCAAGGCAACGAUGCGUAGCCGACCUGAGAGGGUGAUCGGCCACACUGGAACUGAGACAGGGUCCAGACUCCUACGGGAGGCAGCAGUAGGGAAUCUUCCGCAAUGGGCGAAAGCAUGACGGAGCAACGCCGCGUGAGUGAUGAAGGUCUUCGGAUCGUAAAACUCUGUUAUUAGGGAAGAACAAAUGUGUAAGUAACUAUGCACGUCUUGACGGUACCUAAUCAGAAAGCCACGGCUAACUACGUG